UCGUUAUUGUGUGAUAUGGGCAGCAUUGCUCUGUCCAGCUGUUAUCGCACGUUUCCAGCCCUUUGGGAAACACCACACAAUAUCAGUCUUCAGGUUCACCAUGUUCUCAUAAUGUUCAGCUGCUGUUCCGCGGCAGUCUUUCCGUGAAAGAUUUAAAACAGCGAGCGGGGCCUCAUGGAGUGAAUUACCUAAGUAUGGUCUCCUGUCCAAUGAUGGUCUCCUGUCUACGGCCCCAUGAUGGUCUCCUGUCUGCUGCCCGAAGAUGGUCUCCUGUCUGCUGCCCGAAGAUGGUCUCCUGUCUGCUGCCCGACGAUGGUCUUCUGUCUGCUUCCCGAAGAUGGUCUCCUGUCUACGGCCCGAAGAUGGUCUCCUGUCUACGGCCCCAUGAUGGUCUCCUGUCUGUGGCCCGAAGAUGGUCUCCUGUCUACGGCCCCAAGAUGGUCUCUCAGAAUGAAGUUGCAUGUUGGUUUUUUGGGGAAACUGGCAGAACACAGCAGCAGUUGAAUCUAGUGACAUGUAAAUUAUGGCUGUCCUGGGGUCCAUCACACGGAUGUGGAGAACACGCGGAUUUCACACCCUGGCCCUGGAUCUGUGACGUUAAACCCCAUGCCAACAUCUGCCCUUAAUGAAACUGAGGAUAUUGCUGCUAUUUGAUCUUGCUUUUCCCUCGGAUACCUGUUUCCAUAAACAGAUUCUUUCUUCCCCAAGCAAUUUAGCCUUCAGUGAAUUGCUGGAAGCUACUUUUUUCUUAGCACUUUAAAAUAAAAUGCAGAUGUGAAGUAAAAUAUACAUUAUUAAUAUGAUUUAUAAGCAGGAGCAGCAUACUCACACUUCCAGGGCCCUGCUCUGCGUGACGUUUGCGUGUUCUCCCCGUGUCGUGUUUUCGUCCUGUACUUCAAAGCCAUGCAGUUAGGUAAAUCACUGACUCUAAUUAUUUGCCCAUCAUGCGUGUUCUGCCAUGGAUUAGCUUACAGUCCAGGAUGAACCCCAGCCUUGUGCUCUGGGCUGCUUGGAAUAGACUCCAAGCCCUCUGUGACCCAGUACAGUAGGGGUUCCCAACCUUUUCUUGACUGCAGACCAGCUAAUGCUGCGCAAACAUUCCAGAGCUUUUCACAGCCUGGGUGGGGGGGGGGGGAUGUGCUAGCAGUAAAAUUGGUCGACUGUAGGGGAAGGGGUCGAAUGCCUUAAACAAAAAAAAGUGUAGCUUUUACAAUAUGUCUUUAGUUUUUUUAAAUCGACCCCCAAAUCCGCAAUGUUCCAAAGUCCAGUGAAGUACUGCCCACAGACUGGCCAGCAACAGGGUUUGGAACCCAUGCUAUA